AUUGAACGCUGGCGGCAGGCCUAACACAUGCAAGUCGAACGAGUGGCGGACGGGUGAGUAAUGUCUGGGAAACUGCCCGAUGGAGGGGGAUAACUACUGGAAACGGUAGUUAAUACCGCAUACCAUCGGAUGUGCCCAGAUGGGAUUGGCUAGUAGGUGGGGUAACGGCUCACCUAGGCGAAGAUCCCUAGCUGGUCUGAGAGGAUGACCAGCCACACUGGAACUGAGACACGGUCCAAACUCCAACGGAAGGCAGCAGUGGGGAAUAUUGCACAAUGGGGGCAAGCCUGAUGCAGCCAUGCCGCGUGUAUGAAGAAGGCUUUCGGGUUGUAAAGUACUUUCAGCGAGGAGGCGUUACUCGCAGAAGAAGCACCGGCUAACUCCGUGCCAGCAGCCGCGGUAAUUC
rnacentral:rRNA from 1 species